rnacentral:rRNA from 1 species
AAUGACUUCGGUUGUUAUUUAGUGGCGGAAGGGUUAGUAGUACAUAAGAUAAUCUGCCCUCAACUUGGGGAUAACGGUUGGAAACGAUCGCUAAUACCGAAUGUAGUGUAAUUAGGCAUCUAAUAUAUAUUAAAGAAGGGGAUCUUCGGACCUUUCGGUUGAGGAAGAGUUUAUGCGAUAUCAGCUUGUUGGUGGGGUAAAAGCCCACCAAGGCGAUGACGUCUAGGCGGAU